CAAAAAGUUAAGAGCUCUGACUCUAAAGCAGAAUGUGCCGCUGGUUUUUUGUUUGUUUGUUUGUUUGUUUGUUUUAAAGAUUCCCUCUGGCCUCAGGGUCUCACCAUCCACCAAAGGUUCUUUACAACAAAUAGAGUACCCAGGCCAGUCACUGUUCUGGGGCUUGGGGAUGCCAGAUGAAUGCAAUAGGAUGGACUUUUGGCCUCAUGGAGCAAACUCGUCCAGGGUGUGGUGGACAUUAAACAUGACAAAACUGGUGAUGCAUUUCAACUAGGAGCACUGCUAGCAAGGAGAAGCCCAGGCUGCUUUGGGAAAAUAGAGCAGAAGCUACAUCUGGGGGAGGGGAAAAUCAGGGAGAGUUUCCUGGAUGAUGUGACAAGUAAAUUUAGGCUCAAAGAAAGGUUAGGCUGGUUUGAAAUGGAGGGUGGAAAAGAGAGUUCUAAGCAGAUUAAACAGUACAUGCAAAGGUCCUGAGGCAGAGGGGAACCAGGCUGUUGGGUGGUUAAAGGCAGCCAGACAAGGUAAAUGCAGCCAAAGUUCAGUGAUGAAGGCAGGCAGUGGCCUCCUGAAGGCCACAGAGCUAGCAGCAUGGAUUAUGCAGACCCUUGCAGACUAUGAUGAGAAUUUGAGCCUUUAUCCUAAUAGUAAUAGUGAACAUUCAAGUUUAUGUAUAUGAUGGCUGUACUGUCUUCACAUGUGUUUUCUCAUUUGCUUUUCACAAAUCCUCUAGGAAGCUGGUACUAUUAUUCCCAUUUUACAGAUAAUGAAACCCUGGCCCAGAGAAGUUAAAUUGCUCAAAGUCACACAGUUGGCGUGGCAGAGCUGGGAUGUGAACCCAAACAUCAGGAUCCAGGGCCUGCCCUCAUAAUGCCUGCCUGGCGGCGUCUAAGCGCUCCGCGGCCUUCGAUCUGAGUCCUCGGGCCUGGGUUCCUCUUUCACCAGACGCACGUGCGCAUUCUUCCCCCCUACAACCCCACGCAGAGGUUGGCGCUGGCCACAGGAGCAGCGGGCCGCGCCGCGGGCGGUGGCAGCCUCAGCUUCGCCCCCACCCGGCCCCAACCGACGCUACGCGGUGGGCUCGCGCGCUGGCGGCGCGGAGAAGCCGAGCGCGGCCGCAGUGCGGGGGGCCCCGGCGUGUGCGCGCUCGCGCUGCCUGGCGGCUGUGAAAUCUGGAGGGCCAGAAAGAGGCGGCAAGCGACACUGAGAAUCCAUUCCGAGCGAGCAGCCAAGAGGAGACUCGGCAGCUCCCAGAUGUUGAUGUUUUGUUUUUUGACAUAAAUCUUUGCACUCAUAUGGGAG
rnacentral:lncRNA from 1 species